CUCUCCCACUUCCAUACGUCCAAGAGUUGGAUGCCUAAGAUGUGCACACCUAUUUCCUCUCCUUACUCCUCCUUCCUCUAGUUGUUCUUGUUGUUCUCUUGAGAAGAGAAAAAGAAGAUAAAGAAUUCAAUAAUCUAAGAAUUUAUCUCUACAAAGGAGCUAGUACUCUAGUGAGAUCGAGAUCUCUUGAUUAGAUCAGCCUUGUGUGAAUACCUAUAGAGACUGGAUGCAUGUGCUGCUUAAACAAACCUCGAAGACAUCUAUAGAUCAUUGAAUUGUGGUGAAGAACUACCUGC
rnacentral:lncRNA from 1 species